CCUACGGGAGGCAGCAGUGGGGGAUAUUGCACAAUGGGGGAAACCCUGAUGCAGCAACGCCGCGUGAACGAAGAAGUAUUUCGGUAUGUAAACUUCUGUCAUCGCGGAAGAAAAUGACGGUACCUGACUAAAAAGCCCCGGCUAACUACGUGCCAGCAGCCGCGGUAAUACGUAGGGGGCAAGCGUUGUCCGGAUUUACUGGGUGUAAAGGGAGCGUAGACGGCAUGGCAAGUCUGGUGUGAAAGGUAGGGGCUCAACCCCUGGACUGCGUUGGAAACUGUCAGGCUGGAGUGCAGGAGAGGUAAGUGGAAUUCCUGGUGUAGCGGUGAAAUGCGUAGAGAUUAGGAGGAACACCAGUGGCGAAGGCGACUUACUGGACUGUAACUGACGUUGAGGCUCGAAAGCGUGGGGAGCAAACAGGAUUAGAUACCCGUGUAGUC
rnacentral:rRNA from 1 species